CUCGUAGGCGGCCAACUAAGUCAGACGUGAAAUCCCUCGGCUUAACCGGGGAACUGCGUCUGAUACUGGAUGGCUUGAGGUUGGGAGAGGGAUGCGGAGUUCCAGGUGUAGCGGUGAAAUGCGUAGAUAUCUGGAGGAACACCGGUGGCGAAGGCGGCAUCCUGGACCAAAUCUGACGCUGAGGAGCGAAAGCCAGGGGAGCAAACG
rnacentral:rRNA from 1 species